GGCGUGCCUGAGACAUGCAAGUCGUGGGAGAAUGUCGUAGCAAUACGGCUAGUAAACCGGCGCACGGGUGAGUAACACGUGAACAAUUUGCCCUUGAGUCUGGGAUAACCCGUCGAAAGACGAGCUAAUACCGGAUAAGACCACGGCCAGUUCGCUGGCUGAGGUAAAAGAUGGCCUCUGCUCCUGCAAGCUAUCACUCAUCGAGAAGUUCGCGGCCUAUCAGCUAGUUGGUGAGGUAACGGCCCACCAAGGCGAAGACGGGUAGCUGGUCUGAGAGGAUGGUCAGCCACACUGGGACUGAGACACGGCCCAGAGUCCUACGGGAUGCAGCAGUCAGGAAUAUUGCGCAAUGGAGGAAACUCUGACGCAGCGACGCCGCGUGGGUGAUGAAGGCCUUCGGGUCGUAAAGCCCUGUCGGAGGGGAAGAAAAGCGCCGUAGCUAAUAUCUACGGUGCUCUUGACGGUACCCUCAAAGGAAACACCGGCUAACUCCGUGCCAGCAGCCGCGGUAA
rnacentral:rRNA from 1 species